UCUAUAACAGAGCAACCCUGGUUUUUGGCAGCUGACAAAUGGAAUUAAAUAAUUUGCGUGUGCUUUUGCAACCGAUUUUCAGCGCUGAAAAUUCUAUUUGCACAAUUUGAUAAAUAAUUGCAAAAAUUCACAGUAAAAUACGAAAUUGUAGCAAUAAAGUGAGAAGAAAAUGUAAAUAUAAAUAUUGCAGAAAACAUAAUCGCUAAUAGCUAAAAUAAAAAAUUUGCAUCAUUAAAAUAAUCACAAUUGGUUCCCGAUUGACAAUAAAGCUGCUGGCGGAAACAACCUUUUUACACCGAAUAGUUUCCCCAUUUUUUCAGUAAAUUGUCUAAAUGUGCAUACGCACAGAAGCUAUGACGAGCUGAGCGGUGCGAAGCUUUCAGAAUCGUUCCCACGACAGUCGGGUCUACGUAGCCAGAACAACCCAGCAGCAUUCAUCAAAAACGUUUACAACAAGUUUUCAAAACUAUAACUAUAUGAAACUUUUCAUAUAGUAGGCUAUUUCAGGAGCAUUUUGGAGCUGAAAGUAAAGCUCAUUUAGUAAAAAUAUUUAAAUUAUAAUCGAUUUUUAUAUAAAUCUUUUCAAGAGCAUUCCACAAAUAGGUUUUUCUUUUAAGUGAAGUUUUGCGGUAUAUUUGCAGGUGUGAACAUUAAUAGCUUCGCUCCGCUCGGAACAGUCCUGCUUUCUGAUUGGAAGAUGAUGAUAGGAAAAUGUAAACUGGAACUGAUUUCUUAAAAAAGGACAAUACGGAGACAUAGUUAACAUAAUUAUUUCUUAAAUUAUACACUCAUCCCAUCAUUGAAUAGGCACUUGCGCCCACUCAUCUCAACCCACUGAAGAUUUUGGUCGGGAAAGGCAUUAAAAUUGUCUUAAUCUGCAUGAAAUUUCAUCGCAUAAAUACAUAAAGUGCUGGUUGGAUUAAAAAAAA